UUAGGCUAAGUAUGUUCUCUGAGACAGCACCACUAAUCCAUGACGACACAAGUUGAUCUGUCUUAAUCCAAUCAUUGUAAUCAGGGUUUAUAAUUUCAGUACCCUGUUCUUCUCCUUCAAUUUGCAAUGAUUUGGCAGGUGGUGGACUUUCUCCACUAACAAAACCGAACAGAUCUUGACUUCUUAAAAACCUAUGAAACUAACCUUGCCAAAGAAGAAAUUUUUCUUCGGCUAAUUUGAUGGUAACAAAGUUUGAGAUGUUAACAUGAAUAGGGAAUGGAUACUUUUGCACCCUUGCUGCCAUUUUCACACUCAGAUUCUUGAGGAUUCUUUAUUACUGAAACUAAUCCCCUACUGAUUUUGCAGAACAGAGAACAGAGUUGUGAUUCUAUUACCGAUGAUGAUAAGAACUUGAUUUAGAAGAAGAAACAACUCACUGUUCUUCUUUAGUAUUGAAAACCGAUUUCCAGAUCCUCAAAUGACAGUACAUACCACCAUCAACACCAGAAGACAGCAAUCGAUGAAGCUUCAAUCUGCUGUAGAUUCAUCAUCUUUUCAUUGAGAAGAAGGUGGAUUCAUACUCUCAGGAAGACUGCUCUGAUACCAUGAAGGAUUUUGAUGAACAGAACAAUGAAUGGAAGCAAGAAGGAAAGAUGAUUCAGAGAGUAAAAAUCGUCUAUAUUCAACUGAGUGCUCUGUUUUCAAUGAAUAAGAAGCUUGCACGACGGAUGAAGCCAUUCCUAUUGAAGUCGUCUGGUACGGUCUCUCCCUUGUGCACUUCAAGCUGCCAUCACUAUCUUUGCAUAGUUCACUCUGAUUGAUGUACCAUACGAAUUCUGUGCCACAUCUUGAUUUUUUUAUUUUUUUUUUGCCUUUUUCUGGCCCUGCUCGUUAAACUGUGCAUAAAGAAAAAGUUCUUUUUGAGCGUGAAA